UAGUUUUGAUUGUUUCUUUCUCCUGUGUGCUAAACAUUCCCCUGUGUGAGAGGAAUGAUCUGUUGGGGUGAACGUCUCAUAAGCUGUUGUCACCCAACAGAACUUGUGAGGAGCUCAGGUGCUCUUCCUCUUGUUUUGCCCCUUCUGAGGACAGGGCUGGCAAUGCUCCCUCUGGACUAUUGAGGGCAAAGCCUGAGAGAAAUAUUGGGCACAUUCCUGAAAUGUAGGGUACAUUGAAAUGAAGCACAGCCUAUUCAACAGAGGCAGCCCAUUUCAUUGCUCUGCAAUCUCUGACCUUCAUUCUUAAUUCUCUUCUUUUCAGUUCAUGGAGAAUUUAUAGUUGUAUCAGGCAAAUCAUCGGAGCCUGAUGUUGUCACUCUCGGUGAUGAUGAUGAAUCUCCUAUGGUAAGUAGUGACUGGCACACUCCUCUCCAUGUUGCAUGCAGAUUAAUUUUCAUGCCCUCUGGAAUCUUACUAAGUCCCCUGGCCUCCAAGGCUGAAAGAUGCCUCUGAUGUAGCACUUUAGACACAGUUCCCAGUCAACCCCAAACACACUCACAAACACAUCAGCAUACCUGAGAAUCAGUUGCAGAGAGUGGAUGAACACCCUAAAAGAGGUUGUUGCUUCAAGUGAUUGAAAAGAGAGCCCAUGAUGAUGAAAUGAUACCAUUUACAUUUGGAGAGAAAAAGGCUGCCUGAGGCAGAUGAACCUUUGCUUUGCACAGAACCUUGGAGACAAGUGUGGGGGUAUGUCAGAGAAUGGGGAUUACUUGCUUCAAAUCUCAGAGAUGGCUGACUCACUACACCUUUUUUCAACCAGGACACUUCAGAGCAGGGAAACCCCAAAUCCUCCCUAAAUGCAGAAAACUGAGAGUUAAAGACAGCAGGCUUCUUCAGAGGAAAUGUGCCAGGGCUAGUCAGUGCAUUUGCAUGAUUAUUUGAGAUUUUAUGUAUGAAGAACCAUUGAAGUGUGAUGAUAUUAACAGCUGCAUGUUCUUUCUGCUUCUGUUCCCUCUAGUGCAGAGCCAGGAAUUGUUAUUAAGUGUCCAAUUUGCAUGGACUUUUACUCGGAGAUUGGGCAAAGUGCACGAGAGCUUGUGUCAAUCGUGUUCUGCAGCGCGUGCCUCCCUGCUGCCCUGGACACUACCAGCAUGUGCCCAACCUGCAGAGCGGAAUGCAAUCCAGAAAUGUAUUUUCCAGUUUAUUUAGGAGUGCUUCUGUUUCUCAGGAGUCAGAUGGAUCCUGGGGAAUAGGCAAUGUAGAGGCUUGUUUCUUUAUGUAUAUAGUUCUUCCUGUACAUAGUUUCAUUUUUGCUGAGUUUAGUUAGAAAUAAAGUUUUGAUUGAUUUAAAUCUAGUCUGUCUG
rnacentral:lncRNA from 1 species